UGGGGAAUAUUGCACAAUGGGCGAAAGCCUGAUGCAGCGACGCCGCGUGAGGGAUGACGGCCUUCGGGUUGUAAACCUCUUUCAGCAGGGACGAAGCGCAAGUGACGGUACCUGCAGUAGAAGCACCGGCUAACUACGUGCCAGCAGCCGCGGUAAUACGUAGGGUGCAAGCGUUGUCCGGAAUUACUGGGCGUAAAGAGUUCGUAGGCGGUUUGUCGCGUCGUUUGUGAAAACCAGCAGCUCAACUGCUGGCUUGCAGGAGAUACGGGCAGACUUGAGUACUGCCGGGGAGACUGGAAUUCCUGGUGUAGCGGUGAAAUGCGCGGAUAUCAGGAGGAACACCGGUGGCGAAGGGGGGUCUCUGGGCAGUAACUGACGCUGAGGAACGAAAGAGUGGGUAGCGAACAGG
rnacentral:rRNA from 1 species